rnacentral:rRNA from 1 species
GUCGAGAAUCUUGGGCAAUGCGCGAAAGCGUGACCCAGCAAUGCCGCGUGUAUGAUGAAGGCCCUCGGGUCGUAAAGUACUGUCUCCCGUGACGAAAUUUGACGGUAGCGGGGAAGGAAGCCACGGCUAACUACGUGCCAGCAGCCGCGGUAAUACGUAGGUGGCGAGCGUUGUUCGGAUUUAUUGGGCGUAAAGGGUCUGUAGGAGGUUUGUUAAAUACGGGGUGAAAUCCCGAAGCUCAACUUCGGAAUUGCCUUGUAGACUGACGGACUGGAGUACCGGAGAGGUAAGCGGAAUACCAGGUGUAGCGGUGGAAUGCGUAGAUAUCUGGUAGAACACCAAAAGCGAAGGCAGCUUGCUGGACGGAAACUGACUCUGAAAGACGAAAGCAUGGGGAGCAAACAGGAUUAGAUACCCUUGUAGUCC